rnacentral:rRNA from 1 species
UACGAAGGGGGCUAGCGUUGUUCGGAAUUACUGGGCGUAAAGCGUGCGCAGGCGGCUUCUCAAGUCAGGGGUGAAAGCCCAGAGCUCAACUCUGGAAUUGCCUUUGAGACUGAGUGGCUUGAGUACGAGAGAGGUGAGUGGAAUUCCCAGUGUAGAGGUGAAAUUCGUAGAUAUCUGGAGGAACACCGGUGGCGAAGGCGGCGUUCUGGACUGCAACUGACACUGAGAAACGAAAGCCAGGGUAGCAAACGGC